rnacentral:rRNA from 1 species
CCUACGGGAGGCAGCAGUGAGGAAUAUUGGUCAAUGGCCGAGAGGCUGAACCAGCCAAGUCGCGUGAGGGAAGACGGCCCUACGGGUUGUAAACCUCUUUUGUCUGGGAGCAAAGCGAACCACGUGUGGUUCAUUGAGAGUAUCCGAAGAAAAAGCAUCGGCUAACUCCGUGCCAGCAGCCGCGGUAAUACGGAGGAUGCGAGCGUUAUCCGGAUUUAUUGGGUUUAAAGGGUGCGCAGGCGGAGGUGCAAGGCAGCGGUCAAAUUGCGGGGCUUAACCCCGGAACUGCUUUGGAAACUGUGCAGCUAGAGUGCAGGAGAGGUAAGUGGAAUUCCUAGUGUAGCGGUGAAAUGCGUAGAUAUUAGGAGGAACACCAGUGGCGAAGGCGGCUUACUGGACUGUAACUGACGUUGAGGCACGAAGGCCAGGGGAGCGAAAGGGAUUAGAUACCCCAGUAGUC